AUUGAACGCUGGCGGCACGCCUAACACAUGCAAGUCGAGCGGAUGAAGGGAGCUUGCUCCUGGAUUCAGCGGCGGACGGGUGAGUAAUGCCUAGGAAUCUGCCUGGUAGUGGGGGAUAACGUCCGGAAACGGGCGCUAAUACCGCAUUCGUCCUGAGGGAGAAAGUGGGGGAUCUUCGGACCUCACGCUAUCAGAUGAGCCUAGGUCGGAUUAGCUAGUUGGUGGGGUAAAGGCCUACCAAGGCGACGAUCCGUAACUGGUCUGAGAGGAUGAUCAGUCACACUGGAACUGAGACACGGUCCAGACUCCUACGGGAGGCAGCAGUGGGGAAUAUUGGACAAUGGGCGAAAGCCUGAUCCAGCCAUGCCGCGUGUGUGAAGAAGGUCUUCGGAUUGUAAAGCACUUUAAGUUGGGAGGAAGGGCAGUAAGUUAAUACCUUGCUGUUUUGACGUUACCAACAGAAUAAGCACCGGCUAACUUCGUG
rnacentral:rRNA from 1 species